rnacentral:lncRNA from 1 species
UUUUUUUAAAGCAAAGGUGACAAAGCACCUAUAAAUAUAUAUAAAAGAAGUAGUUGAUACAAAGAAGGACUACAUGUUAGAGAAUCUAUAAGAAGGCAAUCCUAUUCUAUAACUACAUAAUUCAUCUAGUAGAAAUGAAGGAGCCGAAUUCCAGCAGUUGAAGACCUUGGAAGAAAUUCCAAAACUAGCAAGUUUGUCUGCACAUUAAUUAGUGAUGAAUAGUUAAUUGUUAGAAACAAAUAAAUAAAUAAAUAAAGAACAAAAGAAUAAUAAAUUUAAGUAACAUUUAUUUAUUUACUCUCUUUCGGAUUCCUUUUAUUAACAAACCAAACUUCUUCCUUAAGGAAGGUUGGUAUUAAAGAAUAAAUAAAUGGUGAAAUGUAAAUAACAAUAAAUAAAAGUUAGUAAGUUAGCUUCAUCACUUUUGUAUAUUAAAAGGUGUUUUCAACAAAUAAAUUUAUUGAUAACACUUUACUAUUUUACAAUUUACAGAUCUUUCAAGAUUCAAUUGUAGAAUAGUAUAGGGUUAUGUCCAACCACAAGGAAUUGCCUAAUAGAAUGAAUCAUAUGAACAUGAACAUAUUUUGGUUUUGAUCUGAAUUGAAUUUCAUAUAAACAAUUGACAAGAAACUUAAACUAAAUAUUAACAAAUUCUUGAGGAGACAAGAUCAUUUUGAAUGAGGAAAAUAUUUCUCAUCUUCUUAUGAAUUUGAACUACUUAGACAAGUUCUUAUGUUUUAUUUUGAUUAACUCCAAACACCAAGUU